CCAUCCUCUCUUCCUGCCCAAUCCCGUCCUCCUCUCCUCUCCCUAAUCAGCCGCCUCCUCCCCUGCUGUUCCUCCAAUCCCAGACCAACGCCUCUCUCUCCCCUUUGGCGGGCUCAGCGCAGCGGCGGGUGAUGCGGGGCAGCUCAGCGCGGCGGCUCAGUGCGGCGGUGGUGGCUGACGCGCUCUGCCGCUGCUGCAUCUCCUUAGGCACGGACGGAUAUCUUGAUGCGCCAGCUGCAACAAGUUGCCCUUGAGAAGUAGUAUGGACAGGUUGAGGAAUGGUGUUGAUUUGAUGAUUUCUGCGUGGGCUCGUUCGUGAAGGAUGCCAAUGUUGAAAAGUGCUAAUGCGGAUAUACAUUUCAUUCCAAAAACUGAGGGCUGAUUCAAUUCCAAACAUGCAGUCAAUUAUUUCUGCUUCAGAUGCCUAUACUGUUUAAUUCUCCUUCCCACAUGCAAUGGUGGCUCAUGGAGAUCUGGGUGCUAAACUUGCAGUUGAGGAAGUACCUUUACUACAG